GCAUGUAUUAGCUCUAGAAUUACCACAGUUAUCCAAGUAGGAGGGAGCGAGCGACCAAAGGAACCAUAACUGAUUUAAUGAGCCAUUCGCAGUUUCACUGUACCGGCCGUGUGUACUUAGACAUGCAUGGCUUAAUCUUUGAGACAAGCAUAUGCUACUGGCAGGAUCAACCAGGUAGUCGAAAGAAGAGAAGAGAAGAGGGGAAGGGGAAACCGCGGCGUGGAGGAGGAAGGAGGAGGAGGAAGGAGAGAGACGAGGCGCGGGGGGAAGGCAACACGGGCCGGCCCCCACCACCCCAAAACCCGCCUUGCGCACGGGUCGAGGAGCGGCCCUCGCUCUCUCCUCUCCUGCCUGGAAGUCCCCCAAGGCACCACCGACAGAAAACCCCUUUUUAAACCCCUCUCUCCGGCUCUCUCUCUCAUCGAGAGGGGGGACCACAGACGCCACUACCCGACUCCCCUCGCGGGCGGGUCCCCACCACCGGGAAAGACUCAGAAGAGUCCCCCCGGAGGGGGAGGGCGAAAGGGCCGCGAAGCAACAACGGGAUGGACGGGAAGACCCACACGAGGCGGAGGUUCCCAAGGUCCUCCCCACACGGGAGGAAAAGCUCACGAACGUGAGAGGGGACCGAGGUCCGCUAGAGAAGGUCAGACGGCUCCGAGGACGGUCAGAACCGGGCCCACCCUCGACUCCGAGCCCAAGAGAGCGGCAGGAAGGCAAAAAGGCCGCCCCGGCACACGCGGGGAAAGGCAGAGAGGCAAACACGGGAAAGCCGAGAUCGCGGGCGCUCGAGGACGCAGCGCCGCCGAGGAGCGAACGGGACCCACAAGGGUCCGCCGCGCGGGGGUCAAGCGGCCCCGACCAGGCCCAAAAUACGUCCCCUCUGACCCUUCCUUCUCCGGCGGGCGAUCGGUGGCCGCACGACAGUCAAGGGCGGAGGCGCGGGGGGGAGGGAAGGGCGCGAAGCCCCCCCCACGAGCCACACGAGCGCGCUCAACGCCUGGCGGAGAAGACACCUUUCGCCAACAGAACCGGAGGGGAUUCGAGAACAGAGGGACGGGGGCCCGGCGCAGGAAAAGACCCACACGAACGCGGCGGGGGGCGGCCCGCCGAGAACUCGGAACAACGGCACACACGCGACCCGCGGCCAACGCGACCAAACCGGGGAACUUUUCCCUUUCUCUCGCUCUCUCCACACAGCGAUGCGCACAGAGAAGGCACGAGGCUCCUCCUUCGCCACCCCAGAGCAGAGCGGGGCACCCGGGAGCCGACCGCCCGUCGGUCACGGGCAACUCAAAGGCUCCCCCGUACAAGCCCGACCACGGGAAGGCAUCGCGGGAAGGCGAUCGGCAAGGAGGGGGUGGGGGCAGGAAAGCCGGCCAGGAAACCUCACGCGAUGGAGGACCCCGGCACACACAGCUCAACCUCACCCGCAGCACCCCCACCGUUCGAGGCCGCCGCCAAAGCAGAAACACGGCCCUAGGAGCAGGGCCCGGUCCACUCGACUUGGGCAGGAACCGCCACUCCCCCCUCCCCAGGCGGGGCAGCGGGAGCCAGGAACAGGCGGGUGAGCGACAGAGUCAUCAUCGCCUGCCCGACGGCCCUCCCUCGCGGGACCAGGGACACCACAUCGAUCCGAGGAGAAAUCCCCAAAGACGGGAAAGAGGGCGGGAGGGGACAGCGGCCCAACGAGCCCAAAACGGGCCGAGAGAGGAGAGGACCCAGAGCGGAACGCCACCCGGGGAAAAAAAACCAAGGGCCGACCCCAACGCCACCAAGAGGAGAGAGCGGAAGACGGGGGCCGGGCGGCAACCCGGAGGCGCCGCGCGGCCCGAGGCAACGACCACUUCCCACCAGCCGAGAGGUUCCGGAGAAGGACCGAGACCGGCAGCGGACCGCCUCACAGCACGACAACGGCCCCAAAACCAAAAGCACGGCUUGGCUUUUUCUGCACACCGGCUCGUCUUCCCCAUUCCCAACAACAGCCAGAGCACUUCUCCCCACUAGUCUGCAGGCACA
ensembl:lncRNA